CUCAUGGGCCAGCGUAAUGGAAAGAAAUUGCUGAAGCAAUGAGAGUGAUCCUGGCAGAUGGCGCUUCAUCGAUCUGAGAAGAGACACGAGGACUGGAAUUUGAAACAAGGAGAAAAAGAGCCAGUGCUGAGAGCAAAUGGGCCAACAGAAGGAAGAGUGGAGAAGAAUGCAGAAAAGAACACAUGUCUGAGAGCCGAGGAAAAUUGCUUCCGCCACAGGGAGCCAACGGAAUCUAAUGGCACCGAGAGGUCAAAGAACUUGAGACUUGAUGCAGGAUCUGGGGUUUGGAUUCUUUUCUAUUUCUGGAUUCAGUUAUUGUAUUAAUAUUUCCAUGGUUGUCACAACUAGAAGAGAACGAAUUAUUGUCCAAGUUCUUACUGAAAAUGCUACAAAUCCUGGGCUGCAAGUUCAAAGCUUCUCUUUGAAUCAAUAAACAUUGAACAGGGGCACA
rnacentral:lncRNA from 1 species